GGGGCUGACCACCCAGGGACGGGCAGAGGAGUCUGGAACAGGACGGUUUGUGCGCUGCCUGCGAGCACCGUGCUUCCACGACUAGAUGCCUCUGUGGUGAAAGCCAAAAGGAGUAUUUUACUGCACACAAAUUCUCAGAAAUGAUCAUCUGAAAACUACAGGUUCUCGGCUAAGGCACCCAGGCUCAGACUGCCGACACAUCGUUAAGCAGCUGGGUACCAGCAGCAAUGACCUCAUCCCUCUGACUCCGUGACCUCGGCUGCAGAGGGUCACGGCGAAUUAUAUACACAGUGCCACGCACAUGGGAAGCUCUCAGUGAGAGAGGGUGGGCUGAGAGCCGCUUGGCCUGGGCCCUGCACCUCGUCCCACUCUGCAUGAACUGCCUUUGCGGAGCCCGAGCCCGGGCAGAAGAACCAGAACAAAACCUAAGUACAAACACGGCGGGCUCGAGCGGGGCUUGGCACGGCGCAGGGGUGGCGGCAAGGGGGCAGCCUGGACUGGAGCCAGAAAGCCUGUGCUGGCAUCCGCCACGCGGACGGGGAAGCUGAGACCCAGGGCUCAGGUCACGCUUACGUCGUUUGGUAGCCAGGUACCAGGACCUCAUGCCAUACACAGCACACAGGCUGUGGAGCUGGAGCCAGUCGAGGAACCUGGAAGCCCCGACCCAGACAAGGCGCAGCCUGGGGGAGGGACAGGGAGGCCUCUCGAACCCAUGGCUUUCUUCUGCCCACUGCAGCCUGGGGGAGGGACAGGGAGGCCUCUCGAACCCAUGGCUUUCUUCUGCCUGCACAGGGGCCCCUCCUGUCCACGAUAAAAGCCCAGUAAUAAGGAGAAAGCAGUCAGCAGCCUUCACCUCAGCUCCAGACUCCGUUCUCGGGGCCAAGUUCAGGUGUGUGCCUGUCCCCCCACCCACCAGGUGGCCAGGCCUGGCUAUGACCGCACGGGAGAGCAGGGCGGACCCCGCGAACGGGGACAGCACCUGACGGCGACAUCCACAAACGCCGCCCCGCAGGAGCACGCACUCCCACACAAAGCGCCUGCAGCUGACAGCCGCCGGGAGGGGACAUCUGGACAGCCUCACGCAGCUUUCAGACCUGCAGUCCAUGUUAAAAGGAUCUUGUUUCCAAUUUGCCUUAAUUAAACAAACAUUCCAAACC
rnacentral:lncRNA from 1 species